UACGGGGGGAGCAAGCGUUGUUCGGAUUUACUGGGCGUAAAGGGCGCGUAGGCGGUCAGCACAAGUCAGUUGUGAAAUCUCCGGGCUUAACUCGGAAAGGUCAACUGAAACUGUGCGACUAGAGUGCGGAAGGGGCAACUGGAAUUCUCGGUGUAGCGGUGAAAUGCGUAGAUAUCGAGAGGAACACCUGCGGCGAAGGCGGGUUGCUGGGCCGACACUGACGCUGAUGCGCGAAAGCGUGGGGGAGCAAACAGG
rnacentral:rRNA from 1 species